rnacentral:lncRNA from 1 species
UUGUUUCCAAUAAACAUUUAUUCCAGGGUGAAAUGUAAAAAAUAUCUUUUAGGAGAGGAACGUUUAAGGGGGGAUGUUUUUUAAGAAGGCUCUUCUAAUAGGUUUAUUUCCAUUUUCUUCCUACUGAAGAAGCAGAUGAACCAUAAAAUCGAAACAACAGAAGCUUAAGGUGAUGGGGAGGUUUAGUUUUUAAAGCUAUGGGUCCCCCCCAGUCCCACAAAUCCCAUGUUUUCCAGCGUACCUCUGUUGGGAGGACCGAGCGGGGGGCCACAUCGGGGCCCUCCCGAAGUACUGCGCCACGAUCGGCUUCGCAAAUAUUUAUUUGCGGCGAUUUUUCCCCUCUUAAUUAUUUAAAAUACAAUGAAUUAGGCGUAAGUGCCUCGCCAUUACUGUAAUUCCAGGUGUUAAUUGCUACCGGGGCGGUCCCCGCGCCGAUGCGGAGCCUCUGCCGACAGGUGGCGCCGCAACCCCGGCCCUGCGCUCGGCGCAGCCCGCAGGGCGGCGGGACCGGGACCGGGACCGGGACGAACGGGAACGGGGAUGGGCCAGGACCGGGAGCAGGAACGGCGGGGAACGGGAAUGGGUCGGGCUGGGACCGGAGAAUGGGGGGAGGGACGGAGGACGGCGAUGGGCAGCGCCGGGCUGCGGCUCCCCCCGCGGUAGCGGUUCGCUGCCCGGUAUCGCUUCAAGCGGUGCUCAGACCCAGCUCCCCUUCCGGCCCGAGAGCUUUGUGUCGGUCCUGCGAAAAACCGAACGCGAUCACCCCAAAAAAUAAACUGAACACAAAGGAAGGAGAACCCGGGCUCUCGCUGGUCCCCGCGGUCGGAAGAAAUGAGUUUUACCCCGAACAAAGUCGGUCGGUCGGUAACUCCGUGGCCGCCCGCUGCCUCCUGCCCUGCGGCGCCCCGGCCCCGGGCAGCGCCAGGCUCCAUCCCCGCGGGGCACCAGCCAGCCGCGGCUCCGCCGGGGAUCCCGGCCUGCCGGCACCGCGACAAGGGACCAGGGCACCGGGAAGGGCAGAGUGCAGCCCGGCGGGGCCAGCUCCUCCCGCGCAGCCUCCGCGCCAUCCGGCCCCCGCGGCCGCCGGUCGCUCCUCACCCGGGCCGAGCCCACCGGUGGCUUUAAACUUUUCUGUUCCGAGUGCCAGGAAUGCUCGACUGCCCCAGCCCCAGCUCUCGCCCCUUCCCGGCUUCCCCUCCACGGGAGCCCCGACGGCGCGGCCGGGACCGCAGCCGCUCCGCGCAUCCUCCGCCAUGAGGACCCGUGGCAGUGGCAGCCCCCGCGGAGCGACACCGCGCUCAGCUCGGCCCUCGGGCCGGUCACUCACGCUCAGCGGCCGGUGCGCGCCGCUGCGCACCCGCGCAGUGUUUCUAAGCAAUGUUUGCGCCAACAGCGGCGUGCACUACGGGAGGGGUCGGGGGGAUGGCAGACAGCACCUGCCUCUCCUCGCCGCGCAGGUAAGGCGGGCUCCGCGGGCACCCGCGGAAGGCCCUCCUUGGUCUCCCGCGCACCCCCAGCAACGCGGGCCUGACCCCCUUCCUUAGCACGCCAGGGCCGCGGAAAAGUUACUCGGGGUGCGCGGCGCUGCCCUCCGCUGACGGAGCGACCCCAUCCCGCUUGCCCCCGCGCUGAACUCCGCCCGGCGGCGCGCAGCACCGCGCAGUACGCUCCGCGGCCACUUUCUCUUCCCCGCGGCGCGGAGCUGCCCCGCCUCCCCCGACCCGGCCCCCCCCCACCCCCCGUUCCCGCAGCCGACUUCCGCGCAGCUCCGCACCAGCGGGGCUCCCACUCCGCACCCCUCCGCGCCCCCCCCCGCCCCGCUUUGAUUAUUUUAUUCAUUUUUGAUGAUUCUCUCCCCCUGCACCGAGCCUUGUUUACCCAGCAGGUGGAUGUGACGUCAGAGACUGACAACAGCAAAAAAUAACAACAUCUCCCUCCGCGGGGGUGUCGCGGCCGCCCCCCGGCCCUCCCUCCGCGGGCGGCGUCCGAGCGGCGUGUCCGCGCCUCCCGCCUCCAUCCCCGCCCCGCCGGUGCUCUGUCGUUUGGGGUUUUUUUAUUCCCUGAAAAAAAGCAGGAGAGCGGGCCGGCGGCGGGCUGCGCGGGCAGCGCUGCGCGG